rnacentral:rRNA from 1 species
AGGCAGCAGUGAGGAAUAUUGGACAAUGGGCGCAAGCCUGAUCCAGCCAUGCCGCGUGUGUGAUGAAGGCCUUAGGGUUGUAAAGCACUUUCGCCGGUGAGGAUAAUGACGGUAACCGGAGAAGAAGCCCCGGCUAACUUCGUGCCAGCAGCCGCGGUAAUACGUAGGUGGCAAGCGUUAUCCGGAAUUAUUGGGCGUAAAGCGCGCGUAGGCGGUUUUUUAAGUCUGAUGUGAAAGCCCACGGCUCAAUCGUGGAGGGUCAUUGGAAACUGGAAAACUUGAGUGCAGAAGAGGAAAGUGGAAUUCCAUGUGUAGCGGUGAAAUGCGCUGAGAUGUGGAGGAACACCAGUGGCGAAGGCGGCUCUCUGGUCUGUAACUGACGCUGAUGUGCGAAAGCGUGGGGAUCAAACAGGAUUAGAUACCCGAGUAGUCC